rfam:Lachancea mirantina genome assembly, chromosome: G
GACAGUUUGGCCGAGUUGGUUAAGGCGAAAGACUCGAAUUCACUUGUAGAGAUCUUUUGGGUUCCGCCCGCGCAGGUUCGAAUCCUGCAGCUGUCG